rnacentral:rRNA from 1 species
GAUGAACGCUGGCGGCGUGCCUAAUACAUGCAAGUCGAGCGAACGGACGAGAAGCUUGCUUCUCUGAUGUUAGCGGCGGACGGGUGAGUAACACGUGGAUAACCUACCUAUAAGACUGGGAUAACUUCGGGAAACCGGAGCUAAUACCGGAUGAUAUUUUGAACCGCAUGGUUCAAAAGUGAAAGACGGUCUCGCUGUCACUUAUAGAUGGAUCCGCGCUGCAUUAGCUAGUUGGUAAGGUAACGGCUUACCAAGGCAACGAUGCAUAGCCGACCUGAGAGGGUGAUCGGCCACACUGGAACUGAGACACGGUCCAGACUCCUACGGGAGGCAGCAGUAGGGAAUCUUCCGCAAUGGGCGAAAGCCUGACGGAGCAACGCCGCGUCAGUGAUGAAGGUCUUCGGAUCGUAAAACUCUGUUAUUAGGGAAGAACAUAUGUGUAAGUAACUGUGCACAUCUUGACGGUACCUAAUCAGAAAGCCACGGCUAACUACGUG